rnacentral:rRNA from 1 species
UACGUAGGGUGCAAGCGUUGUCCGGAAUUAUUGGGCGUAAAGAGCUCGUAGGCGGUUUGUCGCGUCUGCCGUGAAAGUCCGGGGCUCAACUCCGGAUCUGCGGUGGGUACGGGCAGAUAGAGUGAUGUAGGGGAGACUGGAAUUCCUGGUGUAGCGGUGAAAUGCGCAGAUAUCAGGAGGAACACCGAUGGCGAAGGCAGGUCUCUGGGCAUUAACUGACGCUGAGGAGCGAAAGCAUGGGGAGCGAACAGG